GACGAACGCUGGCGGCGUGCUUAACACAUGCAAGUCGAACGGAAAGGCCCUGCUUUUGUGCGGUGCUCGAGUGGCGAACUGGGGAGUAACACGUGAGUAACCUGCCCUUGACUUUGGGAUAACUUCAUGCAACUUGGUCUAAUACCGGAUAGGAGCUCCUGCUGCUUGGUGGGGGUUGGAAAGUUUCGGCGGUUGGGGAUGGACUCGCGGCUUAUCAGCUUGUUGGUCGGGUAGUGGAUUACCAAGGCUUUGACGGGUAGCCGGCCUGCGAGGGUGACCGGCCACAUUGGGACUGGGAUACGGCACAGACCAGUACGGGAGGCAGCAGUGGAGAAUAUAGCACAAUGGGAGGAAGCCUGAUGCAGCAAAGCAGCGUGCGGGAUGACGGCAUUCGGGUUGUAAACCGCUUUCGCCUGUGACGAAGCGUGAGUGACGGUAAUGGGUAAAGAAGCACCGGCUAACUACGUG
rnacentral:rRNA from 1 species